AUUGAACGCUGGCGGCAGGCUUAACACAUGCAAGUCGAGCGGGGUGAUGGUGCUUGCACUAUCACUUAGCGGCGGACGGGUGAGUAAUGGUUAGGAAUCUGCCUAUUAGUGGGGGACAACAUCUCGAAAGGGAUGCUACUACCGCAUACGUCCUACGGGAGAAAGCAGGGGAUCACUUGUGACCUUGCGCUAAUAGAUGAGCUUAAGUCGGAUUAGCUAGUUGGUGGGGUAAAGGCGUACCAAGGCGACGAUCUGUAGCGGGUGUGAGAGGAUGAUCCGCCACAGUGGGACUGAGACACGGCCCAGACUCCUACGGGAGAAAGCAGUGGGGAAUAUUGGACAAUGGGGGGAACCCUGAUCCAGCCAUGGCGCGUGUGUGAAGAAGGCCUUAUGGUUGUAAAGCACUUUAUGCGAGGAGGUGGGUCUUUUGGUUAAUACCCAAGAUGAGUGGACGUUACUCGCAGAAUAAGCACCGGCUAACUCUGUGCCAGCCGCCGCAGUAA
rnacentral:rRNA from 1 species